GAGUUUGAUCAUGGCUCAGGAUGAACGCUAGCGGCAGGCCUAACACAUGCAAGUCGAGGGGUAACAGGUUUAGUUUACUAAAUGCUGACGACCGGCGCACGGGUGCGUAACGCGUAUGCAACCUACCUAUAACAAGGGGAUAGCUUAGAGAAAUUUGAAUUAAUACCCUAUAAUGUAAUUGACUGGCAUCGGUUAAUUAUUAAAGAUUUAUUUUGGUUAUAGAUGGGCAUGCGUAGCAUUAGCUAGAUGGUGAGGUAAUGGCUCACCAUGGCGACGAUGCUUAGGGGUUCUGAGAGGAAGGUCCCCCACACUGGUACUGAGACAAGGACCAGACUCCUACGGGAGGCAGCAGUGAGGAAUAUUGGUCAAUGGACGGAAGUCUGAACCAGCCAUGCCGCGUGUAGGAAGACUGCCCUAUGGGUUGUAAACUACUUUUAUAUAGGAAGAAAGUUUGUCUUGCGAGAUAAUUUGACGGUACUAUAUGAAUAAGCACCGGCUAACUCCGUGCCAGCAGCCGCGGUAAUACGGAGGGUGCGAGCGUUAUUCGGAUUUAUUGGGUUUAAAGGGUGCGUAGGCUGGAGCAUAAGUUAGUGGUGAAAUUUUUCGGCUCAACCGGAGACGUGCCAUUAAAACUGUGUUUCUUGAAUGUGAUUGAAGUAGGCGGAAUAUAUCAUGUAGCGGUGAAAUGCAUAGAUAUGAUAUAGAACACCGAUAGCGAAGGCAGCUUACUAAGUCAUGAUUGACGCUGAUGCACGAAAGCGUGGGUAUCGAACAGGAUUAGAUACCCUGGUAGUCCACGCUGUAAACGAUGAUCACUAUCUAUUGGGUUUUCGGAUUCAGUGGUAAAGCGAAAGUGUUAAGUGAUCCACCUGGGGGAGUACGAUCGCAAGGUUGAAA
rnacentral:rRNA from 1 species